AGUGAACGCUGGCGGUAGGCCUAACACAUGCAAGUCGAACGGCAGCACAGUAAGAGCUUGCUCUUACGGGUGGCGAGUGGCGGACGGGUGAGGAAUGCAUCGGAAUCUACUUUUUCGUGGGGGAUAACGUAGGGAAACUUACGCUAAUACCGCAUACGACCUACGGGUGAAAGCAGGGGAUCUUCGGACCUUGCGCGAUUGAAUGAGCCGAUGUCGGAUUAGCUAGUUGGCGGGGUAAAGGCCCACCAAGGCGACGAUCCGUAGCUGGUCUGAGAGGAUGAUCAGCCACACUGGAACUGAGACACGGUCCAGACUCCUACGGGAGGCAGCAGUGGGGAAUAUUGGACAAUGGGCGCAAGCCUGAUCCAGCCAUACCGCGUGGGUGAAGAAGGCCUUCGGGUUGUAAAGCCCUUUUGUUGGGAAAGAAAAGCAGCAGGUUAAUACCCCGCUGUUCUGACGGUACCCAAAGAAUAAGCACCGGCUAACUUCGU
rnacentral:rRNA from 1 species